rnacentral:misc_RNA from 1 species
AGGGAUGAGUGGGUAUUCCUACCUGAUCCGAGGUCAACCUUGAAAAUGAGGGUUAAGGCCGGGCCAUGAGACCACCAGAUGCGUGCUAUGAAAAGCUCAUUGCAUUUGGCACCAUCACGACACCGCUCAUUAUCUUUAGAACUACUGUCGUCAACUGACAGAGAGUCCAACAACAAGCCAGGCUUGAUGGUUGAUAAUGA